rnacentral:rRNA from 1 species
AAAUGAAUAGACGGGGGCCCGCACAAGCGGAGGAACAUGUGGUUUAAUUCGAUGAUACGCGAGGAACCUUACCCGGGCUUGAAAUGCAUCUGACCGACCCUGAAAGGGGUUUUCUAGCAAUAGCAGAUGUGUAGGUGCUGCAUGGUUGUCGUCAGCUCGUGCCGUGAGGUGUCGGCUUAAGUGCCAUAACGAGCGCAACCCUUGCCGGUAGUUGCUAACAGGUAACGCUGAGGACUCUACCGGGACUGCCAUCGUAAGAUGUGAGGAAGGUGGGGAUGACGUCAAAUCAGCACGGCCCUUACGUCCGGGGCGACACACGUGUUACAAUGGGGGGUACAGAGGGCAGCUACCAGGUGACUGGAUGCGAAUCUCAUAAAACCUCUCUCAGUUCGGAUCGAAGUCUGCAACUCGACUUCGUGAAGCUGGAUUCGCUAGUAAUCGCGCAUCAGCCACGGCGCGGUGAAUACGUUCCCGGGCCUUGUACACACCGCCCGU